UCCGGUUGAUCCUGCCGGCGGUCACUGCUAUCGAGUUUCGACUAAGCCAUGCGAGUCACAGGCCGAAAGGUACUGGCGGACGGCUCAGUAACACGCGGAUAAUCUACCCUCAGGUGGGGUAUACCCUUGGGAAACUGAGGCUAAUCCCCCAUAGGUCCUGUAAACUGGAAUGUUUUAGGACUGAAAGUCACGGCGCCUGAGGAUGAGUCUGCGGCCUAUCAGGUAGUAGGUGGGGUAAAGGCCCACAUAGCCUAUGACGGGUACGGGCCCUGAGAGGGGUAGCCCGGAGAUGGGUUCUGAGACACGAACCCAGGCCCUACGGGGCGCAGCAGGCGCGAAACCUUCGCAAUGCGCGCAAGCGCGACGAGGGGAACUCGAGUGCUAUCAUCCUUUUGGGUGAUAGCUUUUCUCGAUCCUAAAAAGAUCGGGGAAUAAAAGCUGGGUAAGACGGGUGCCAGCCGCCGCGGUAAUACCCGCAGCUCAAGUGGUGGCCACUAUUAUUGAGCCUAAAGCGUCCGUAGCCGGUCUUGUAAAUCUCUGGGUAAAUCCCAUCGCUCAACGGUGGGAAGACUGGAGAGACUGCAAGACUAGGGAUCGGGUGAGGUAAGAGGUACUCCUGGGGUAGGGGUAAAAUCCUGUAAUCCUGGGGGGACGACCGGUGGCGAAGGCGUCUUACUAGAACGACUCCGACGGUGAGGGACGAAGGCUAGGGGAGCAAACCGGAUUAGAUACCCGGGUAGUCCUAGCUGUAAACGCUGCCCACUUGGUGUUGCCCUUUCGUAGGGAAGGGGCAGUGCCGGAGCGAAGGUGUUAAGUGGGCCGCUUGGGGAGUAUGGUCGCAAGGCUGAAACUUAAAGGAAUUGGCGGGAGAGCACCGCAACGGGAGGAGCGUGCGGUUUAAUUGGAUUCAACGCCGGG
rnacentral:rRNA from 1 species